rnacentral:rRNA from 1 species
AACGUAGGACGCAAGCGUUAUCCGGAGUUACUGGGCGUAAAGCGCGGGCAGGCGGUUCUGCCAGUCUGAUGUGAAAUCUCUCAGCUCAACUGGGAGCAGCCAUUGGAAACUACAGAACUGGAGUCUGGCAGAGGUAGGCGGAAUUCCGGGUGGAGUGGUGAAAUGCGUAGAGAUCCGGAGGAACACCAGAGGCGAAGGCGGCCUACUGGGCCAGUACUGACGCUGAGCCGCGAAAGCCAGGGGAGCGAACGGG